GCAAGUCGAACGGGCUCUUCGGAGCAAGUGGCGGACGGGUGAGUAACGCGUGAGAAUGUGCCUUCAGGAUGGGGAUAACAAUAGGAAACUAAUGCUAAGACCCAAUGUGCUGAAAAGUGAAAAAUGAAAAUUGCCUGAAGAGGAGCUCGCGUCUGAUUAGCUAGUUGGGGUGGUAAAAGCGCACCAAGGCGACGAUCAGUAGCUGGUCUGAGAGGAUGAGC
rnacentral:rRNA from 1 species